rnacentral:rRNA from 1 species
AUUGAACGCUGGCGGCAGGCCUAACACAUGCAAGUCGAGCGGAGCGGCGGACGGGUGAGUAAUGCCUAGGAAUCUGCCUGGUAGUGGGGGAUAACGUCCGGAAACGGGCGCUAAUACCGCAUACUAUCAGAUGAGCCUAGGUCGGAUUAGCUAGUUGGUGGGGUAAAGGCCUACCAAGGCGACGAUCCGUAACUGGUCUGAGAGGAUGAUCAGUCACACUGGAACUGAGACACGGUCCAGACUCCUACGGGAGGCAGCAGUGGGGAAUAUUGGAAAAUGGGCGAAAGCCUGAUCCAGCCAUGCCGCGUGUGUGAAGAAGGUCUUCGGAUUGUAAAGCACUUUAAGUUGGGAGGCGUUACCUGCAGAAUAAGCACCGGCUAACUCUGUGCCAGCAGCCGCGGUAAUAC